rnacentral:rRNA from 1 species
UAAUUGAAGAGUUUGAUCAUGGCUCAGAUUGAACGCUGGCGGCAGGCCUAACACAUGCAAGUCGAGCGGUAACAGGGGAAGCUUGCUUCUCGCUGACGAGCGGCGGACGGGUGAGUAAUGUAUGGGGAUCUGCCCGAUAGAGGGGGAUAACCACUGGAAACGGUGGCUAAUAC